AGUGGAUUCGGAUGAAAACCGGU
rnacentral:piRNA from 1 species